rnacentral:rRNA from 1 species
UACGGGGGGGCAAGCGUUGUUCGGAAUUACUGGGCGUAAAGGGCGCGUAGGCGGUUGGAUAAGUCAGCUGUGAAAACCACGAGCUCAACUUGUGGCCUGCAGUUGAAACUGUCUGGCUAGAGUGUGGGAGAGGGAAGUGGAAUUCCUGGUGUAGCGGUGAAAUGCGUAGAUAUCAGGAGGAACACCGGUGGCGAAGGCGGCUUCCUGGACCACAACUGACGCUGAGGCGCGAAAGCUAGGGGAGCAAACAGGAUUAGAUACCCUGGUAGUCCUAGCUGUAAACGAUGGAUACUUGCUGUGGGGGGUGUUAAAUCCCCCUGUGGCGAAGCUAACGCAUUAAGUAUCCCGCCUGGGGAGUACGGUCGCAAGGCUGAA